rnacentral:rRNA from 1 species
CACGUAGGUGGUUAUUCAAGUUGAGUGUGAAAGCCCCGGGCUUAACCUGGGAAAGCCAGUCAAGACUGAAUAACUAGAGUACAGGAGAGGGUAGUGGAAUUUCCGGUGUAGCGGUGAAAUGCGUAGAUAUCGGAAGGAACAUCGGUGGCGAAGGCGGCUACCUGGCCUGAUACUGACACUGAGGAGCGAAAGCGUGGGUAGCGAACA